rnacentral:rRNA from 1 species
GACGAACGCUGGCGGCGUGCUUAACACAUGCAAGUCGAGCGGUAAGGCCCUUUCGGGGGUACACGAGCGGCGAACGGGUGAGUAACACGUGGGUGACCUGCCCUCAGCUCUGGGAUAAGCCUGGGAAACCGGGUCUAAUACCGGAUAUGACUCCAUGACGCAUGUUGUGGGGUGGAAAGCCUUGUGCGGCUGAGGAUGGGCCCGCGGCCUAUCAGCUUGUUGGUGGGGUGANGGCCUACCAAGGCGACGACGGGUAGCCGGCCUGAGAGGGCGACCGGCCACACUGGGACUGAGACACGGCCCAGACUCCUACGGGAGGCAGCAGUGGGGAAUCUUGCGCAAUGGGCGAAAGCCUGACGCAGCGACGCCGCGUGAGGGAUGACGGCCUCGGUUGUAACGUACUU